AUCUGUUACCAUCUCUCUCUGAUGCAUGGAGGAGUGUCAGAGAACUGAGUGGACUCUACCUUUUGGAGCAACCUGCUGCAGCCAGAGAACCACUUAACUCUUAGUGCUUCAUCCGACCUGCUCCUAAGUCAAGAUGAAGACUUGAAGAGAGUCUGAAGAUGAAUGAAUGAAUUAGUGAGCUCUUCCUGCAAGUUGAACUUGAUCCUCUUGAUGCCUCUCUUUUAAAGCUUUCAAGCAAAGAUGGUGGAUGGCUUUUAAUAAACGUCCCUGAUUAACUGUUAUAUUUUUGUU